rnacentral:rRNA from 1 species
UUUUGAACGCAAGUUGCGCCCGAGGCUCGUCUGAGGGCAUGCCUGCCUGAGCGUCCCU